rnacentral:rRNA from 1 species
AGUGAACGCUGGUGAUAGGCCUAACACAUGCAAGUCGAACGGCAGCACAGUAAGAGCUUGCUCUUACGGGUGGCGAGUGGCGGACGGGUGAGGAAUACAUCGGAAUCUACUUUUUCGUGGGGGAUAACGUAGGGAAACUUACGCUAAUACCGCAUACGACCUACGGGUGAAAGCAGGGGAUCUUCGGACCUUGCGCGAUUGAAUGAGCCGAUGUCGGAUUAGCUAGUUGGCGGGGUAAAGGCCCACCAAGGCGACGAUCCGUAGCUGGUCUGAGAGGAUGAUCAGCCACACUGGAACUGAGACACGGUCCAGACUCCUACGGGAGGCAGCAGUGGGGAAUAUUGGACAAUGGGCGCAAGCCUGAUCCAGCCAUACCGCGUGGGUGAAGAAGGCCUUCGGGUUGUAAAGCCCUUUUGUUGGGAAAGAAAAGCAGCAGGUUAAUACCCCGCUGUUCUGACGGUACCCAAAGAAUAAGCACCGGCUAACUUCGUG